rnacentral:rRNA from 1 species
UACGAAGGGGGCUAGCGUUGCUCGGAAUCACUGGGCUUAAAGGGCGCGUAGGCGGGUUCGCAAGUCGGGGGUGAAAUCUUUCAGCUUAACUGGAAAAGUGCCUCCGAUACUGCGAGUCUCGAGGGAGGUAGGGGCAUGUGGAACUUCCGGUGGAGCGGUGAAAUGCGUAGAUAUCGGAAGGAACGCCGGUGGCGAAAGCGACGUGCUGGACCUCUUCUGACGCUGAGGCGCGAAAGCUAGGGGAGCAAACGGG